rnacentral:rRNA from 1 species
GAUGAACGCUGGCGGCGUGCUUAACACAUGCAAGUCGAACGGGAAAUAUUUCAUUGAGACUUCGGUGGAUUUGAUUUAUUUCUAGUGGCGGACGGGUGAGUAACGCGUGGGUAACCUGCCUUAUACAGGGGGAUAACAGUCAGAAAUGGCUGCUAAUACCGCAUAAGCGCACAGAGCUGCAUGGCUCAGUGUGAAACACUCCGGUGGUAUAAGAUGGACCCGCGUUGGAUUAGCUAGUUGGUGGGGUAACGGCCCACCAAGGCGACGAUCCAUAGCCGGCCUGAGAGGGUGAACGGCCACAUUGGGACUGAGACACGGCCCAGACUCCUACGGGAGGCAGCAGUGGGGAAUAUUGCACAAUGGGGGAAACCCUGAUGCAGCGACGCCGCGUGAAGGAAGAAGUAUCUCGGUAUGUAAACUUCUAUCAGCAGGGAAGAUAGUGACGGUACCUGACUAAGAAGCCCCGGCUAACUACGUG